rnacentral:rRNA from 1 species
UACAGAGGCCUCGAGCGUUGUUCGGAAUUACUGGGCGUAAAGGGCAUGUAGGCGGUGAUGUAAGUCAGAUGUGAAAGCCCUGGGCUUAACCUGGGAAGUGCAUUUGAUACUGCAUUGCUUGAGUGCGAGAGAGGAAAGCGGAAUUCCAGGUGUAGGAGUGAAAUCCGUAGAUAUCUGGAGGAAUACCGAUGGUGAAGACAGCUUUCUGGCUCGUAACUGACACUGAGAUUCGAAAGCUUGGGUAGCAAACAGG